CUUUCUUUUGUGGAAAACACAAAAGGUGAACUGACUGGGGAUGCAGUCUCCAAAAAGGACACAAAUAACCUUAAAACAUGCACAAUGCUCUCUCACUCAUGGACUGGAUUGCACAGCAUGCUUCACAGAUGACAGACCAAGAUUCUAAGAAACAAAAGAAUCACCCCAGACCAGACCUCAAAAAAUCCUGGCUGCAGAACUGAGCACCUAUCAGCAGAGAUGGCAGAUUUCAAAUCAACUGAGAUGAAUGGGAAUUACUUCGAUUGCUCUGCCACUGCAUUGUUUUUAUACACCUAUUCUACACAACUCCGUAUGGUCUUGUGGAACUCUUACAGUGGCAGAAAUCACACAUUCACACCUAACGCUUCCCCUUGGCCACGCUGGGGCUGGCACUAAACACAUCUCAGUGAUACCGGUGCUCAUCAGCCACAGAAUUAAAACAGGAGGGUGGAAGGAGGAGGAGUGCAUCUCCAGAGGAACUGCCAGGAAUAAUAGUCAUUUUGCUCUUCUGCAGUCUUCAGUCCAAGGGCAGCUCACCACAGACUCAUAGAUUAAUUUCUGCAAGUAAUAAUUGGAAAUGUUUCCAUUCCCUUGUUCUUUAUUUUUUUUCUUUUUGAGAUAGUCAGAAUCUUUGAUGUGCAUUCACACGUGGAAUGAAACAAUGAAGCAAUAUUCCUCUGAGCUGCCGAGUGUAUUGUUUUGAACCAUCAUCAAAGUACAAAAGUGUUUCUGCAAUAACUUCAUGCCAUAACUUACAAAUGUAGGUUUUAUGCCAUAAAAUAUACAUUUUGAUAGCUUCGGAAGUCUUUGAAAUGCAGUUUAAUAAUGAAAAUUGCUUGAAAAAAAAAAAUUACAAUUAGAGUUUCACAUUCCAAUCAGAUCUCAAAACUCUUGUUUAAAUUACACUGAAUAUCGGUCUGUCAAAUCUAAUUCAUAUUUAUUUAUCAAAGACCUAAUAUACCGCACUUUUCCAAACCCAGCUAACAGGACAUGUUCUCAGAACUUUGAGAGAACCUUAUCAGAAUGCUAGUUUAUAGAGAGAGAGAAAAAAAAAACACUUCAGUUGGAUUCUAUUCAAACAUUUUAAACAUUACUAUUUGCUAUAGGUUCAGAAGGUUUAGAGAGCAUUUCAAAGUAACAUGUUCAUAAUGUUUGCAACAUGAUAAAACUGAGGGUUUCCUUGUUUUCUCAGGACAGAAGAAGAAGAAGAAGAAGAAGAAGAAGAAGAAGAAGAAGAAGAAGAAAGUUUCCUAAUUGUUAAAACUGUUAAAAUUGUUAAAAAUUGUUUAGAACUUUCAGAAAUAAUGUUAUCAUGACUAUGGGAACAUCAGCAAAAUGUUCUGAGGACAUAGUUUUGUUAGCUGAAUAGAAAUUGGCAACACAAAGAGCUAUACCUGAAGAAAGUAAUCUGUUAUUAUUCCCAUUUAACUCAAAAGCAGUUAUAGGAACUAGUUAUGUUAAACAAGUACACUAGUUUUGUACCCAUGAGCUAACUAUCCAAACCUAUAGCUACAGUAACACAAGCCUAAUUUACAGUUGUUUCCCACCAACACCUUGCUCUUUAAAUUGAGUCAGGCCAAAGGUAUCCAGUGAGUGAUUGCAUGAGAUUUUGAUGUUUUAUGUGAAUAAACAUUACCCCACUGAUGUAACUGCA
ensembl:lncRNA